GACGAACGCUGGCGGCGUGCUUAACACAUGCAAGUCGAACGCUGAAGCUCAGCUUUUGUUGGGUGGAUGAGUGGCGAACGGGUGAGUAACACGUGAGUAUCCUGCCUCCUUCUUUGGGAUAACGCCCGGAAACGGGUGCUAAUACUGGAUAUUCACUGGUCUUCGCAUGGGGGUUGGUGGAAAGGGUUUUUCUGGUGGGGGAUGGGCUCGCGGCCUAUCAGCUUGUUGGUGGGGUGAUGGCCUACCAAGGCUUUGACGGGUAGCCGGCCUGAGAGGGUGACCGGUCACAUUGGGACUGAGAUACGGCCCAGACUCCUACGGGAGGCAGCAGUGGGGAAUAUUGCACAAUGGGCGCAAGCCUGAUGCAGCGACGCCGCGUGAGGGAUGGAGGCCUUCGGGUUGUGAACCUCUUUCGCUCAUGGUCAAGCCGCAACAAUGGUUGUGGUGAGGGUAGUGGGUAAAGAAGCGCCGGCUAACUACGUG
rnacentral:rRNA from 1 species